rnacentral:lncRNA from 1 species
AAAUCAUCGGGGUUUUGGUUUAAAACUGUUUCAUGUGAGUGAGCUGCUUCCCUCCAUCUGAGCAGUCCUGGGGGAGGUCACCUCUGAGAUUCCCGGAGCCGUAGUCCUCCUACCAGGGUGUUGUCACUGGGGGAAAGGAAGACUCAGCUCAGAGAGCUGACCAGCUCUCCAGCAAUCUUCAGAGGUUUUGAGGUGGCAUAUUUUUAGUACUUCUGCGGAGAUGACAGAAUUCUUGGAUCAGAGUAGACUUAGGCAUAUACAUAUUAAGCAAACAUGUGUUAAUAGUUGACACUUGUGGUUGCUGUUUGCGGGCACUGUUGGAAGCGCUUUACCGCGGAUUAACUCUUAGUCCUCACAGCAACCAUUUGAGGUA